GUAUGGGUGUUUCGUGAUGUCGCUUCGCGCUCUUUGCCGAUUUUGAAACUAGGGGUGGGAGCAGUUUGUUCGUGCUGCCAGUCGCUUGCAGCGAAGAACUCCGGAUCGUGUUUGGAAGAACAGCAGCAACAACGCCGCUUUGUUUCGGCUCGAGGCUGCUAGGAACAACCCAACGUAAUAUGCUCUCACACUCUAUCAUAACAGUGGCAGACUGGCUGACAAAACUGCUACUUGAGCGUCAUCUGUGACUCAAAGAAUACUAGAAAUCACUGAGUCGGUACAUCCCUGUGUAAGCAACUGCAUCUUUUCCAGAAGUGGCACGAAGAAGGAAGUUCAGUACCCGUGAUCUCAUCGGCCAACUUUCUGCAUGGGAGUCCCGGUUGUCAGGAGAAGACUGCAACAAAGUAUUGCAGGAUGAAAAUCAAGCCUUUUUGGUUAGCAGAAACGGUGGGCCUCCUAAUCAAGGCAUGGCUCGAGUGCCCACGAGGAGCUCUUCUUGGUAGGUCAGCCACAGUUCAGUUGUAAUUCAAAUUGGUAACUUUUGAAAGCACCACAAAUCAGUUUUUGUGUGCGUGCGUGUUGUAAGAAUGGUAUAGUUUUUGCAGCUAUGAUUUAGGUAAAAUAAGUCUUAAUAUAUUCCCUACUGUAGCGAUAUAUUCAAAAGAGCAUUGUGAAUGCACCUUUGUUGCCUCUUAAGCUCACAAUUCUGUCCAAGUAUUAGCCUGUUCUUUGUCUGCGAUGUUUGCAUUAUUUGAAAAUUAAGUGUACUACAUUUAGUAAUGCUCUCAAAAAAGCUAAUUGGUCCGUGUACGCAUUUUAUAAUCAUUUUAAUUACCAUUUAACUAAGACAAUUUUAUUUUUGGUUGCAUUGAUAAUUCAGAUUUCCAAGUUCUCUGUAAAGAAGUCGCAUUUACUAAGGACUCAUUGUAUUAGUCAUAUUUAUGACAACCAUAUAUGCUGAAUCACAUUUGUAUUUCUGAAAUAAACUCCAUUUUCUACUGCCCCA